rnacentral:misc_RNA from 1 species
AAUUCCUAAGGAUAUGAUGAUUCUGGCAUUAACUAAAUGCUUCCUUUGUUUCCGAUUAACAACCAAAAUGACAGGUCCUUUUUUGUUUGUUCAGUCUCUGAAAAUCCUCAGUGCUGCCUUCUACAAGACAUUGUUUGUCUAUACAUGUCCAAAUUUUUGGGAGACCUCAACCAUGGAAACUUGUGUUUGGUUUCUGUUUCAAGAGUUGGUAAUCUUCUGAGUGGAUUCAACAAAGACAAACAAACAAACAAACAAACAAACAAACAAAUACAAACAAAUACACAAACAAACAAACAAGCAAAAAACUAAACAAACAACCUAAAACAAAACAAAACUUCCCACCCAUCAAUUUUACACACGUUUGACUUAUUUAUGGAAUGAGAGCCACCACCAAUUCACUAUUUGAUUGUGUUGGUAUUAUCAUUCUUGCAGGUUGAAAAGCAGCUUCCUGAAAAACCCUCCGUUUUAAGCCCAGCAGAUAUUUACUCCCAGUUCACUCCCAAACAGGAGUUAAAAUCCAUUCUCAGAAGACCUUCUGUUGAAGAAAAGGAAAGCAAGAGCUCUUUAGAGAAUAAACCGGCCACUACACAGCAACUUCCAACCAACAGUCCCAACGAAAACAACGAAAAAGAGGAGUUUAACUCAGAAAAGGCAUUUACAGGGAACAUUGUUGAAAAACCAACUUCACAGAAGACUGAACAAGCUACUUCUCAGACAAGUGCAUCCCAACCCGGAAAGAAACUUUCAAGAUUCAAGGCCGCGAGACAGAAGCAACAAUAAAACAUUGUAUACUUGCA